UUUAUCUGUUUUUAGACCCUAAGUUCAUAGUUUGUAACGAUCUUCCCUUAAGCGCCUUGAUCUCUAAUCCUUUCUUUAUAUGCUAAUCUUAUUACUUCUUAAGUUUCUCAUUUCACAUAUUUAAAGAACAAAAAUUAAUUUAGCAUUUGUGUGACCACCUCAUAUAUCAACUCUAAAAUAAAUCAAGCUUACUAAUGUAAGUUCCUCGCACGAUAUUAUGUGUGCACCUCAAAUGCUAAAACAAAAUAAAUUCGACACCUAGAUAAUAAAACUGCAUUUUGAUUUGGUCACCUUUCACAUGUGAAGAUAAUAAAAUCUAAGGUACUAAAAUACCUCUUCCUCAGGUUAAUCUCUUAAUUAAUCACCUCAUAAGCUAAGGAAUAUAUAAAAAAAAAAGGUUGACGUGCAAAACAAAUAUAGGGUAAAAAUAGGCUAAGAUAAUGUUAUUAGGAUAGGCAAAGACUCGUAUGCUUUAGUGGAGGAUAGGCUUUAACGCCUAGGAGGACAUGGGUGCUUUCGUAAACCUUCACUAUUUAUACCUAACUUUUCAAACUUAGAAUCUCUGAUCUUAGGGAAGGAGAAACUGAGGCUCUCCGCAAGGGGUAUAAAGUCGUCAUCCUCACUCUCAAAACUUAUCCUGAUAUAAUUGGAUGAUACUCCUUCUUUGAUUGAUCUAAGGCUUUUCGUAAUCCCUUAGAACCCUCAACCGAACGGCUCA
rnacentral:lncRNA from 1 species